GUGUUCUCGCUUCGGCAGCAUAUAUACUAAAAUUGGAACGAUACAGAGAAGAUUAGCAUGCGCAAGGAUGACACGCAAAUUCGUGAAGCGUUCCAUAUUUAA